rnacentral:rRNA from 1 species
GUGUCAGCAGCCGCGGUAAGACGAACCGUGCGAACGUUGUUCGGAAUCACUGGGCUUAAAGGGCGCGUAGGCGGGCAGCCAAGUCAGGGGUGAAAUCCCACAGCUCAACUGUGGAAGUGCCUUUGAUACUGACUGUCUCGAGGGAGGUAGGGGCGUGCGGAACUUCCGGUGGAGCGGUGAAAUGCGUAGAUAUCGGAAGGAACGCCGGUGGCGAAAGCGGCGCGCUGGACCUCUUCUGACGCUGAGGCGCGAAAGCCAGGGGAGCAAACGGGAUUAGAUACCCCGGUAGUCC